rnacentral:rRNA from 1 species
CCUACGGGAGGCUGCAGUGGGGAAUAUUGGACAAUGGGCGAAAGCCUGAUCCAGCCAUGCCGCGUGUGUGAAGAAGGCCUUCGGGUUGUAAAGCACUUUCAGUGGGGAAGAAAGCCUUGGGGCUAAUACCCUCGAGGAAGGACAUCACCCACAGAAGAAGCACCGGCUAACUCCGUGCCAGCAGCCGCGGUAAUGCGGAGGGUGCGAGCGUUAAUCGGAAUUACUGGGCGUAAAGCGCGCGUAGGCGGUCUGAUAAGCCGGUUGUAAAAGCCCCGGGCUCAACCUGGGAACGGCAUCCGGAACUGUCAGGCUAAAGUGCAGGAGAGGAAGGUAGAAUUCCCGGUGUAGCGGUGAAAUGCGUAGAGAUCGGGAGGAAUACCAGUGGCGAAGGCGGCCUUCUGGACUGACACUGACGCUGAGGUGCGAAAGCGUGGGUAGCAAACAGGAUUAGAUACCCGUGUAGUC